rnacentral:lncRNA from 1 species
CUCAGAUGCAGCCGCUGGCUACCCUGCCCGAGGCGACGCAAAAUGACGUCUCGCUCCUGCACACGCUCUGGAGAGACGCUCUAGGCCGGCGGAGGACCACGUCUCUAUGGUGUGCCGGGGGCCGCGCGGGCCGGGAGUUGGGUGGGCUGGGGGACAGGCGCGCCCGCGCCGCCCGCUCCAGCUGGGCUAGUGCUGCACAUUCCGGCCAGCCCCUCCUCAAGACCCCAUUCCCAAGCCCCUUCUCAGCUCCCUCGGGCCGGCAGAGCGGCUCUGAUCAGUAAAAUGCUGUUGAAGGCCCACGGGCAUGACUGCACCCCUCACUAAUUGGUCAUUGGUUUGGGGAGGACACCACUGUCCCAGUGGAACCUUGAGCACACCUUGGAGCCCUCCUCUUCCUCUCCGGACCUGUGCCAAACUGUGAGUGGCACAGAGCAAGGACUGCCAUCCUGCAGCCACCAGAACCUUCCACAUGAAAUGAAAGGCUCACCACUUCAUAGGCUUUAAGGAAAUUCUUGGCCAGGUGUGGUGCCUCACUCAUGUAAUCCCAGUGCUUUAAGAGGCCAAGAUGGGAGGAUUGUUUGAGCCAGCUGUUUGAGACCAGCCUGGGCAACGUCAUGAGACCCCAUCUCCACAAAAAAAAAAAAAAAGAAAAUUGGCUGGGUGCGGUGGCUCAUGUCUGUAAUCCCAGCAAUUUUGGAGGCUGAGGCGGGUGGAUCACUUGAGGUCAGGAGUUUGAGACCAGCCUGGCCAACAUGGUGAAACCCCGUCACUACUAAAAAUACAAAAAUUAGCCAGGCGUGGCGGCAGGUGCCUGUAAUCCCAGCUACUUGCGAGGCUGAGGAAGAAUUGCGUGAACCUAGGAGGUGGAGGUUGCAGUGAGCCAAGAUCAUGCUGCUGCACUCCAGCCUGGGCAACAGAGUGAGACUCCAUCUCAAAAAUAAUAAAAAUAAAUUAAAAAAAUUAAAAA